GACGAACGCUGGCGGCGUGCCUAACACAUGCAAGUGGAGCGACGAACCAGGCUUCGGCCUGGGGCAAAGCCGCGAACGGGUGAGUAACACGUGGGUAACCUGCCCUGAUGAUUGGGACAACCCGAGGAAACUCGGGCUAAUACCAAAUGUGCCCUUCGGCCAUAAGGCCGCCGGGGAAAGGAAAGCUUCGGCCUCCGCAUCUGGAUGGGCCCGCGGCCCAUUAGCUUGUUGGUGAGGUAACGGCUCACCAAGGCGACGAUGGGUAGCUGGUCUGAGAGGACGAUCAGCCACACUGGGACUGAGACACGGCCCAGACUCCUACGGGAGGCAGCAGUGGGGAAUCUUGCGCAAUGCGCGAAAGCGUGACGCAG
rnacentral:rRNA from 1 species